rnacentral:rRNA from 1 species
GAGGAAUAUUGCACAAUGGGCGCAAGCCUAAUGCAGCAACGCCGCGUGCGGGACGAAGGCCUUCGGGUCGUAAACCGCUUUUCUGGGGGAAGAGCAAGGACGGUACCUCAGGAAUAAGUCUCGGCUAACUACGUGCCAGCAGCCGCGGUAAAACGUAGGAGGCGAGCGUUAUCCGGAUUUACUGGGCGUAAAGCGCACGCAGGCGGCUCUGUUAGUCGGACGUGAAAGCUCUCGGCUUAACCGGGAGAGGCCGUUCGAUACUGCGGGGCUUGAGGUAGGGAGAGGAAUGCGGAAUUCCCGGUGUAGUGGUGGAAUGCGUAGAUAUCGGGAGGAACACCUGUGGCGAAAGCGGCAUUCUGGCCCUCACCUGACGCUGAGGUGCGAAAGCGUGGGUAGCAAACA